CGGGGGGAGCAAGCGUUGUUCGGAUUUACUGGGCGUAAAGGGCGCGUAGGCGGCCUCCGCAAGUCAGUUGUGAAAUCUCCGAGCUUAACUCGGAAAGGUCAACUGAUACUGCGGGGCUAGAGUGCGGAAGGGGCAACUGGAAUUCUUGGUGUAGCGGUGAAAUGCGUAGAUAUCAAGAGGAACACCUGCGGCGAAGGCGGGUUGCUGGGCCGACACUGACGCUGAGGCGCGAAAGCUAGGGGAGCGAACGGGAUUAGAUACCCCGGUAGUCCUAGCCUUAAACGAUGAAUGCUUGGUGUCUGGGGUUAUAUAGUCCCGGGUGCCGUCGCUAACGCUUUAAGCAUUCCGCCUGGGGAGUACGGUCGCAAGACUG
rnacentral:rRNA from 1 species